UACGUAGGGUGCGAGCGUUGUCCGGAAUUGAUUGGGCGUGAAAGAGCUCGUUAGGCGGCUUAGUAAGUCGGCGGUGAAAUACCGAGGCUCAACCUCGGCACUGCCGUCGAUACUGCUAUGGCUAGAGUUUGGUAGAGGAGAAACGGAAUUCCCGGUGUAGCGGUGGAAUGCGCAGAUAUCAGGAGGAACACCGGUGGCGAAGGCGGUUCUCUGGGCCUUACCUGACGCUGAGGAGCGAAAGCGUGGGGAGCGAACAGG
rnacentral:rRNA from 1 species